GGUGACGUGGAGCAAACCUCAGAAAGCCAAUCUCAGUUCGGAUUGUAGGCUGCAACUCGCCUACAUGAAGUUGGAAUCGCUAGUAAUCGCGAAUCAGAAUGUCGCGGUGAAUACGUUCCCGGGUCUUGUACACACCGCCCGUCACACCACGAGAGUUUACAACACCCGAAGUCAGUGGCCUAACCGCAAGGAGGGAGCUGCCUAAGGUGGGGUAGAUGAUUGGGGUGAAGUCGUAACAAGGUAUC
rnacentral:rRNA from 1 species